AACGAACGCUGGCGGCAGGCUUAACACAUGCAAGUCGAGCGCCCCGCAAGGGGAGCGGCAGACGGGUGAGUAACACGUGGGAACGUGCCCAAAGGUACGGAACAACUCCGGGAAACUGGAGCUAAUACCGUAUGUGCCCGAGAGGGGAAAGAUUUAUCGCCUUUGGAUCGGCCCGCGUCUGAUGAGCUAGUUGGCGGUGUAAUGGACCACCAAGGCGACGAUCAGUAGCUGGUCUGAGAGGAUGACCAGCCACACUGGGACUGAGACACGGCCCAGACUCCUACGGGAGGCAGCAGUGGGGAAUAUUGGACAAUGGGCGCAAGCCUGAUCCAGCCAUGCCGCGUGAGUGAUGAAGGCCUUAGGGUUGUAAAGCUCUUUCGCCGAGGACGAUAAUGACGGUACUCGGAUAAGAAGCCCCGGCUAACUUCGUGCCAGCCGCCGCCGUAA
rnacentral:rRNA from 1 species